rnacentral:rRNA from 1 species
AGUGAACGCUGGCGGCGUGCCUAAUACAUGCAAGUCGAACGAACGAAUAAGAGCUUGCUCUUAUCAGUUAGUGGCGCACGGGUGAGUAAUAUAUAGCUAAUCUGCCUCUUAGUAGAGGAUAACAGUCGGAAACGAUUGCUAAUACUCUAUACUUCUGCUUUACAUAGGUAAAGUAGAGAAAGUUUUUCGCUAAGAGAUGAGGCUAUACUGUAUCAGCUAGUUGGUAAGGUAACGGCUUACCAAGGCUAUGACGCAUAACUGGUCUGAGAGGAUGAUCAGUCACAUUGGAACUGAGACACGGUCCAAACUCCUACGGGAGGCAGCAGUAGGGAAUAUUGCGCAAUGGGGGAAACCCUGACGCAGCAACGCCCCGUGGAGGAUGACACUUUUCGGAGCGUAAACUCCUUUUAUCGGGAAAGAAUAAUGACGGUACCCGAUGAAUAAGCACCGGCUAACUCCGUG